rnacentral:rRNA from 1 species
AGAGUUUGAUCCUGGCUCAGAUUGAACGCUGGCGGCGUGCCUAACACAUGCAAGUCGAGGGGUAUAGGUUUUCGGACCUAGAGACCGGCGCACGGGUGCGUAACGCGUAUGCAAUCUACCUUUUACAGAGGGAUAGCCCAGAGAAAUUUGGAUUAAUACCUCAUAGUAUUACGACUCGGCAUCGAGAUGUAAUUAAAGUCACAACGGUAAAAGAUGAGCAUGCGUCCCAUUAGCUAGUUGGUAAGGUAACGGCUUACCAAGGCAACGAUGGGUAGGGGUCCUGAGAGGGAGAUCCCCCACACUGGUACUGAGACACGGACCAGACUCCUACGGGAGGCAGCAGUGAGGAAUAUUGGUCAAUGGGCGCAAGCCUGAACCAGCCAUGCCGCGUGCAGGAUGACGGUCCUAUGGAUUGUAAACUGCUUUUGUACAGGAAGAAACAGUUCUACGUGUAGAACCUUGACGAUACUGUAAGAAUAAGGAUCGGCUAACUCCGUGCCAGCAGCCGCGGUAAUACGGAGGAUCCAAGCGUUAUCCGGAAUCAUUGGGUUUAAAGGGUCCGUAGGCGGUUUUGUAAGUCAGUGGUGAAAGCCCAUCGCUCAACGGUGGAACGGCCAUUGAUACUGCAAGACUUGAAUUAUUGGGAAGUAACUAGAAUAUGUAGUGUAGCGGUGAAAUGCUUAGAGAUUACAUGGAAUACCAAUUGCGAAGGCAGGUUACUACCAAUAUAUUGACGCUGAUGGACGAAAGCGUGGGGAGCGAACAGGAUUAGAUACCCUGGUAGUCCACGCUGUAAACGAUGGGCACUAGGUGUCCGGGGUAUUGACCCCCUGGGUGCCGCAGCUAACGCAUUAAGUGCCCCGCCUGGGGAGUACGGUCGCAAGAUUAAAACUCAAAGGAAUUGACGGGGGCCCGCACAAGCGGUGGAGCAUGUGGUUCAAUUCGACGCAACGCGAAGAACCUUACCUGGGCUAGACAACGGUGGACCGUCCUAGAAAUAGGAUUUUCCCUUCGGGGACUGCCGGUUCAGGUGCUGCAUGGCUGUCGUAAGCUCGUGUCGUGAGAUGUUGGGUUAAGUCCCGCAACGAGCGCAACCCUUGUCUCAUGUUGCCAGCACGUGAUGGUGGGGACUCGUGAGAGACUGCCGGGGUCAACUCGGAGGAAGGUGGGGAUGACGUCAAGUCAUCAUGCCCCUUAUGUCCAGGGCUUCACACAUGCUACAAUGGCCGGUACAAAGGGCUGCGAUGCCGUGAGGUUAAGCGAAUCCUUUAAAGCCGGUCUCAGUUCGGAUCGGGGUCUGCAACUCGACCCCGUGAAGUCGGAGUCGCUAGUAAUCGCAGAUCAGCAACGCUGCGGUGAAUACGUUCCCGGGCCUUGUACACACCGCCCGUCACGUCAUGAAAGUCGGUAACACCCGAAGCCAGUGGCCUAACCCUUGUGGGGGGAGCUGUCGAAGGUGGGAUCGGCGAUUGGGACGAAGUCGUAACAAGGUAACCGUA